rnacentral:rRNA from 1 species
UACGGAGGGUGCAAGCGUUAAUCGGAAUUACUGGGCGUAAAGCGUGCGCAGGCGGUUUGUUAAGUCUGCUGUGAAAUCCCCGAGCUCAACUUGGGAAUUGCAGUCGAUACGGGCAGGCUAGAGUUCGGCAGGGGAGACUGGAAUUCCUGGUGUAGCGGUGAAAUGCGCAGAUAUCAGGAGGAACACCGGUGGCGAAGGCGGGUCUCUGGGCCGAUACUGACACUGAGGAGCGAAAGCGUGGGGAGCGAACAGG